ACAACAUCUCUAACGUUUGUUUGCGGAUGGCGAUAAUAUUAUAGAAGAAGAGCCACAAUAACAACACAGCUCACUUGCCUUCACAGCAAAGAAGAUAUUACAGAGGAGUCCACCUCCACCUCCACGCUGUAUUCUGUGCGAUGGUGACUUCAAGCAGCCUGUCAAACUGACCUGUGGCCACUGCUUCUGCAAAGCCUGCUAAAGGAAUACUGGAGACAAAAGGGAAAUCGGGAAUGUCCAGUCUGCAAGAGAAAAUCUUCCAUGGAGAAUCCUCCAGCCAUGUAGCAGGAAGUCAAAUGGGACCCUAUAUUCCCUAUAUAGUGCACUAAUUUUGACCAGGACCAUAUUACGUCUACUACCUGGUUAUAACAGAGAUCCCACUCCCUCCCAAGCAAAUAGCUGCUUUGAUUCUGACUUCCAGAUCUCACAUUUCUGAUUUUUAUUUCAAUUUGCCAUUUCAUUAUUAAUUAAUUUACAUUUGAAGCACUUUGAGAUUGCUAUGGCAUUCUACUGUAGUUCGAUGUAAUUGCUGCAUUGUUUAAAAUCUUGGUCAUGUUUUAUGGCCUUCAUGUCAUGUUUAAAAUCUGUAAAAAUGUAAAGUCCAUACCUGCGCAUCUGACUUUCCCCACAGUUCCGUCAAGGGGAUUUUUUUAAAUGUCUUUAUCAUAGCCUCCUGGUUUUCACCAAUCAGCGUGCCCGAAUGGACAUUUGGACUCUGACCCCUCCAACCCAAGGUCAGAGUGUUUUAGUCGUCAGAAGAAGAAGACUCAAGUUGAUUGUGUUUACUAGGAAGAUUGAGCAUCUAAGAAAGUACAUCACGUGCUGCCGCCUAGAGAGAGAUGUUAAUAUACAUCAGUGGAGGCUGCUGAGGGAGGGACGGCUCAUAAUAAUGGCUGGUUGGCACCAGACACAGAUCAGGCUUCGGGACAAGUCUCUGAAUGUCCUUGAGUGGCCCUGCCAGAGCCCGGACUUGAACCCGAUCGAACAUCUCU